rnacentral:rRNA from 1 species
GACAGAGGGUGCAAACGUUGUUCGGAAUUACUGGGCGUAAAGCGCGUGUAGGCGGUCCUGAAAGUCAGGUGUGAAAGCCCUGGGCUCAACCCAGGAAGUGCAUUUGAAACUCCCAGACUGGGGUCUCGUAGAGGAAGGCGGAAUUCUCGGUGUAGAGGUGAAAUUCGUAGAUACCGAGAGGAACAUCGGUGGCGAAGGCGGCCUUCUGGACGGUGACUGACGCUGAGGCGCGAAAGCGUGGGGAGCAAACAGG